rnacentral:lncRNA from 1 species
GGACAGCUGAAGCCACGAUGACAAAGGAGAAGAUUAGAGGCAACUGAGACCUAACCAAGUCACGGACCUGGAAGAUGAAAAGACGUGUAAGAAUGAAAUGGGAAAGAAAGAAGGACGAAGCUGAGCUAUGAGAAACCCAGCAGGGAAUGAGGACGUUGUGGCUGGCGUAUCUGCUACUGAAAUGCUGGAAUCUUACAGGAACUUUCUACCAAGGUCACACUGAGUGAGGAUAAUGCUCCGUGUGUGAAGACUGUGUCCCUCUUUGGCAUGUUUCAGACAGUGUCUGAUGUUGGAAAGAUGAAUCUAGGAAAAUGGUGUUGUAGGAUGCCUUCAAUUAAAAAACAAAUGAACAAGACCAGGGUCAGUCAGCACUGGAGAUCUGUAAGGAGGGGCAAGCUCCCUCUUGCAGAAACUGGAGCCAGGUGGGGUUCAGGACUGUGUAACAAACCUUGUACUAAGGAUGUUUGGCAGAGUAACAGGGAAUAAUUUGGGGUUCUCAUACUAAGUCCUUUGUUUCAGGGGUACUGGAAUGGUAAUGGGAAAUCUGAGGAGCAGCUCAGUCAGGAAGGGCCCAGGGAAUACUGCAUGUCUGGGUGAUGGGCACACCCCGAGAAUUCAGCAGUGCAGAGCCUCCCAUGGCUUCAUAGGAGCCUUGCUAGGAGUGGAUCACUGGAUCCCAGGAUUGGAAACUUUCUUAACCCCUGUGAUUAUUCCUCUAGUCCCACGAGCCUUUUUCCUCACAGUUAUGCCCUCCUGGAGUUUCCAGAGUAACCUACAAAAUACAAAGAAAAAGCCAUUUCAUUGUAACUGGUAACUUUAUGUUAUUAUCAGGAUGUCAAGGGCCUCCAGGGGAGAGAGGAGUAUAAAGUUUUAAGCUUUGGACCCAGGUUUAUAGAGAUCACAGAAGUCUCUUCUCCCCAGGAGGAACCCUCUCCUCUAUUAGGAGGGGAGACUUCUGAUGUUAAAACUUAUGACAGCCAAGGCAAGUAGUGCCUCCAGACUCCUACUGCCCCAGGCUUUUUACAGUCAAGACCUUCAUCAGGCUUCUGAAUAUCCAAAUUGCCUACCUUUUACAUACCAGAGGGGAACAGGGAGGAUUACCAGGAUGUCUUAACAGAGUUAUCUGUAUGAACAGAAAGAAUAGAGCAUUUAUUUGCAGAUUUAUAGAGCAAUGAAAUAAUUCUGCUUUAUAACUACCAAAUCCCAGGCCAUGGGAAGGAUGUGGAUAAGAUUUCAGAAUGGUUUCAAAAUCACUUUAUGAUUUAAAUGGUUCCUACUCUGUGGUUUCUACUUCUCUGAUGUACUUUUCAGCCCUCACAUCCAAGGUGCCGA